rnacentral:lncRNA from 1 species
CCCGCCCGACUCUGCCGCCUCCGCCGCGCCACCGAUUUAUGGAGAGAGAUAUCAAGGGGGAAAAUGGCGUCUCCGGAGCCCGAGGAGUCCUGGAGUAAUCACAUUCACACACACACGCCCGCACGCACACACACUCGCACACACUGGCACACAGGCGCGCGGCGAGCCCUGCUAAUUUUAGCAGGAGCCAAAAAAAAUUUUAUAUAUAUAUAUAUAUAUAUAUAUAUAUAUAUAUCCCCGUCUCUCCGAUCAAUGCUUUUUCUUUUUUUGCUUUUUUUUUUUUUUUUUUUUUUUUUUUUGCUUUUCUUCAAAGGAUGGGUUGGAGCGUUAAAAAAUGUUGGUGGGUUUGGGCUCGCAGGAGGCGGCGCGCGGAGGGCGAGGGCGCUUUUGCUGAGCUGUGCAGUUCGGUCCGCUGAGCCCGGCGGCCCUGCCCGCCCGCUCGUCCGCCCGCGGUCGCUAGUGUUGCCGCCGCCGCCGCCGCCGCCGCCGCUGCUGCUCCAUGGCCGCGCCCGCCCCGCGCCCCCGCCGCGUCCCGUCGCCGCCCGCCCGCGUCCCCGGUGAGCGCUGGAGUGGGGUCGGGCCCGUGUGCCUGCCUCCCGCGCCCUCUCCGAAUCCCGGACUCCUAGUGAAAGGAAGGGGGAGGGCGCGGGCGCGGAAGGGAGGUGGAUCGGAGCGGCAGCGCGGCCCAGCCGAACGGGUACCGACCGUCACCCCGCGAUCUUCCUCGCAGGGGGCGCCGGCGCCCAAGCUGCUCGCCCGGAGGGCCCAGAGCCGCUUCCCAGACCAGAGCCGGGGGAGGCGCAGCCAGUAGCGAGCCCUGAGCGACCUCUCUCCCCACUCGCCCCCCUGCCCCAGUGAAUUUCUGUCAGUUGAAGGGAGCGGGGCUCUUGCCCGGGGAAAAGGAAAACAGUUCGUGGCCUGGGAUCUGGGACCCCUUGCCGCCCCCAGCGCCCCUCCCGCUCCCCGGCGCCCUUGCGGCCCAGUGGCUCCUGCGCGCCGGAGUCCGCCGCGAAGACUGAGCGGCCGCGGGGAUCGCCGCGGGCUCCGCGCGUAUUCCUGGGCUCAACACUGCCACUAUCUGACACAACAGGAGCAGUGUCGGGGGGGUACUGCGCGCCCAGACGUGAGCUGUGAUAGGCUCUCGAAACUGGGCGCAUUUUUUUUUUAACCUGGUAAUUAUAUUUCACUUUCAGGGUUUUUUUAAAUUAUUAUUAUUAUUUUAUUGUUGUUGUUAAGCGACUUGUAUGCAUUCAGAUCUCAUGUGCAUUUUCUCGUUAUUCAAGAGAAUUGGACACUUGAUGAAGGGAAGGACACGGAGAGAUGACAAACGCAGACUGGCAUGCAGUUGUUUUCAGGGUGGGAAGAACAAAGUGGAAUGUCUUCAGUUCUUACAAAAUAUGGUGGCAUUUGUAAUCUCUGAGUUUUUGUAUUUGGCCUACAAAGGGGGUCUUUUCAGGGAAACACGAAUGGAACCCUUCAGAGACAUGUCUACAUUGUAAAACAAUAUAGGAUAGAUACGGAUUCGGGAAGGUCUGCAAAUGGUUCCGCUCAAAGAACUUGGGGUAAAGUUGACCGAGGACUCGGAUUCUGAGAGGACUCCUAUCACGUUCUUCAUGAGAGUUUUAGGCUAUUUGGACUGAGGAAUGAUUUGGAGGUACGUCGGGGGCAUUCCCUCACUGAGGCCAUCAGUGGCUGCCUCCCUGCAUUGGCUGCUGGUUUGAGUUCCUUCACAGAACUUCUUCGUCAAGUUUUUCAUAGGAACGCUGCAGUGAAGUGGAGUGAAAGAGACUGGGGAUUGAAGGGUGAACCCCUUCCAGCCCCAAUCCCAUCCCGAUUCCUGUCUGGAUGCAGAUUCAGUCUGACUCAGAACGGAUAGUUCACCCUUUUACUGAUCCAAGUGCUCUGUCCUCUUUUUUUCAGAGGAAUGUUCUGACUGGCUACAAACUUUUCUUCUGUCACUGCAGGACCUCCCGUGGAGCAAUUUUCGAUAGGUCUUCUACUAUGCUUUUUUACCGCGUCAUUGUUAUUGCUGAGAAAAUAAUGCUUAGUUAGGAAAAAAAAUAGCAGAGCAUAUGAGCUGAUGAUAGAAGUAGAGAUCAAGGCACAGAAUACAAUAUCAAAACAACUAUUCUCUGUAAUCAAAUGACCUUUCUCAUUUGCUUGUACACCCAGAUUUCUGAAAUCCUACACCAAAGUCCACAGAGAACUAAGAUAGCAUGUGGCCUAUUCCCCGCGCUUUUCCAGUGGAGAAAGUAGCCCCAGAAAUCAGAAGGGUUUGUCCACAAGCAUAUGGCUGUCUGAUGUCAUCCAAACCAGAACUAAAGCCUAUUGCCCUAGUCGUUUCCCUUCUAUAACCUAGGCGUAUUUACAGAGUCUUCCUUCCUGUGGUGUUGUGUGGAUUAGAAAAGUAGCUAAGAAAAGCACAUACCUUAUUAAAAUUCACUGCAAUAGAUGAUAAGUCUGUAGAAUUAUAGUGCAGUAGAAGUUUACCUGUGAGAUCAUCUAUUAGAAUCCCAUCUUUUUAAAACUGAGGAAACGAUGCACUACCCCAAGCCACUAAGUUAAUUCAAAGCCAGGAAUAGAUGCUAUGUUCCUUGACUUCUUAUCCAACGUUCCUUCCUUGUAUGUAGCCCAUCUCUGAAUCAUGAGAGGGGAGAGGAGAGAAAGGAAAGGAGGGAUAUUCUCACUCUCUUACAUAUAUAUGAAAAAAUAUAUAUGCCUCUGUGUGUGUGUGUGUGUGUGUGUGUGUACACACACCCAUAAUAAUGUUUCAGUGAACAACAGACCACAUAUAUUACUGUGAUCCCAUAUAAUAUAAUACUGUAUUUUUGCUGUACAUUUUCUGUGUUUAGAUACACAAAUACUUACCAUUGUGUUACAUUUGCCCACAGUAUUUAGUACAGUAAUAUUCUGUACAGGUUUGCAGCCUAGAAGCAAUAGGCUACCCCAUAUAGCCUGAGUGUGCAGUAGCCUAUAUCAUCUAGAUUUGUGUAAGUGCACUCCAUGAUGUUUGCACAAAGUCGCCUACUGAUGUAUUUCUCAGAACACCUCCCCAUAAGCUAAUUGACGCAUGAUUGGAGAUAUAUAUAUAUAUAUAUAUAUAUACACACACACAUAUAAAUAUAUAUACAUAUGUAAAAUAGAUACAAUAAAUAUUUUAUACACAUUAAUAUUUUUGGUAUAUAAUAAUAUAUUACAAAUAUAAAAAUUUUAAUAUAUGAUAAUAAAGGAUUUCUAAAAACUAAACCCCCAUCCCUAAACUGUACAUCUGUUAAUAGAAUGGGACCUAUAUUCAAAUCCUAGGUGAAUGUCACAGGAAUUCUUCUCAUUUUCUUUCUCAAUUAGACCACUUUGUGAUCGUCUGAGAAACAAACCUUGACACACAGAAAGUCUGAACUUGAUCUAGCCUGAAAAUAGAGUCAGGCAAUUUUAAGAUACCCAUUUCCAGGGCCCAGGAGCCCUUGAAGAAAUCAAAAGGCCAUCCGAGCACUUGAUGAGAAUGCACAGGACAUACAUCUUUUAGUCUCACACAGUCUCCAGUAUCAGAAUCAUGCGGGCACUCAGCAAAUAUUUAUGGAGCAUGGUGAUGUGCCAGAUACAUUAGUAGCAACUGGAGAUACAAAUGUGACCAAGACAUAGUCCCCAUCCUCACAGAAUUCAUGACCUAGUGGGAAAGACUGACAUGCGAAGCUCUAACUACAACGAAUGCACAAAAAUAUCAGGAAGAAGAGGCUUACAAAGUGUGUGGAGUACAGAUGCUGAAGUGGUGGGAGGAGAGUGGGGUCUGAAAUCAUGUCUUUUUAAAAUUGCUGCACAUUUAUUUUCUAUGUGUAUUUAACAUACACUUUUCAUUUUCCCCUUUGCACACACAUGUAUUUUUUUCCAUUACCUGUUUUCCAACCAAAUAUAAAACUUAUCAGGACUAGGCUGUGCCUUGCAUGGACAAUGUCAAUAAAUGUAGUUGAGAAUAAUUGUUCCUCUGAUAUCACCAAAUAUCUGAAUUGC